rnacentral:rRNA from 1 species
UAAGCGGAGGAAAAGAAACCACCAGGGAUUGCCUCAGUAGCGGCGAGUGAAGCGGCAAAAGCUCAAAUUUGAAAUCUGGCGUCUUUGGCGUCCGAGUUGUAAUUUGAAGAAGGUAUCUUUGGGCCCGGCUCUUGUCUAUGUUCCUUGGAACAGGACGUCACAGAGGGUGAGAAUCCCGUGCGAUGAGAUGACCCGGGUCUGUGUAAAGUUCCUUCGACGAGUCGAGUUGUUUGGGAAUGCAGCUCUAAGUGGGUGGUAAAUUCCAUCUAAAGCUAAAUAUUGGCGAGAGACCGAUAGCGAACAAGUACAGUGAUGGAAAGAUGAAAAGAACUUUGAAAAGAGAGUGAAAAAGUACGUGAAAUUGUUGAAAGGGAAGGGCUUGAGAUCAGACUUGGUAUUUUGCAUGCUGCUCUCUCGGGGGCGGCCGCUGCGGUUUACCGGGCCAGCAUCGGUUUGGAGCGGCAGGAUAAUGGCGGAGGAAUGUGGCACGGCUUCUGCUGUGUGUUAUAGCCUCUGACGAUACUGCCAGCCUAGACCGAGGACUGCGGUUUUUACCUAGGAUGUUGGCAUAAUGAUCUUAAGUCGCCCGUCUU